UGUCUUCUCAGGAUAUGGAGAAAGAAAUCAGGAAACAAGUAGAUGACGCCAUUGCUAAAGCAAAGACGCUCACGAGGCUUCACAAGGGUGCAGAAGCUGAAAAUAUAAGGAUUUUUUUCAUGGCUUCACUAUUGUAUCUUUUAGAUGAGGCGUCCAGGGCUCUCCUGAUGAAGGUACUAGAAGAUGCCACCUA